AGAGUUUGAUCAUGGCUCAGGAUGAACGCUGGCGGCGUGCUUAACACAUGCAAGUCGAACGGGCUCAUAUUGAAACCUAGUGAUGUAUGAGUUAGUGGCGGACGGGUGAGUAACGCGUGGAGAACCUGCCGUAUACUGGGGGAUAACACUUAGAAAUAGGUGCUAAUACCGCAUAAGCGCACAGCUUCGCAUGAAGCAGUGUGAAAAACUCCGGUGGUAUACGAUGGAUCCGCGUCUGAUUAGCUGGUUGGCGGGGUAACAGCCCACCAAGGCGACGAUCAGUAGCCGGCCUGAGAGGGUGAACGGCCACAUUGGGACUGAGACACGGCCCAAACUCCUACGGGAGGCAGCAGUGGGGAAUAUUGCACAAUGGGGGAAACCCUGAUGCAGCGACGCCGCGUGAGUGAAGAAGUAUUUCGGUAUGUAAAGCUCUAUCAGCAGGGAAGAAAAUGACGGUACCUGACUAAGAAGCCCCGGCUAACUACGUGCCAGCAGCCGCGGUAAUACGUAGGGGGCAAGCGUUAUCCGGAUUUACUGGGUGUAAAGGGAGCGUANACGGCAGCGCAAGUCUGAAGUGAAAUCCCAUGGCUUAACCAUGGAACUGCUUUGGAAACUGUGCACCUGGAGUGC
rnacentral:rRNA from 1 species